GAUGAACGCUGGCGGCGUGCCUAAUACAUGCAAGUCGAGCGAACAGACGAGGAGCUUGCUCCUCUGACGUUAGCGGCGGACGGGUGAGUAACACGUGGAUAACCUACCUAUAAGACUGGGAUAACUUCGGGAAACCGGAGCUAAUACCGGAUAAUAUAGUGAACCGCAUGGUUCAAUAGUGAAAGACGGUUUUGCUGUCACUUAUAGAUGGAUCCGCGCCGCAUUAGCUAGUUGGUAAGGUAACGGCUUACCAAGGCGACGAUGCGUAGCCGACCUGGGAGGGUGAUCGGCCACACUGGAACUGAGACACGGUCCAGACUCCUACGGGAGGCAGCAGUAGGGAAUCUUCCGCAAUGGGCGAAAGCCUGACGGAGCAACGCCGCGUGAGUGAUGAAGGUCUUCGGAUCGUAAAACUCUGUUAUUAGGGAAGAACAAAUGUGUAAGUAACUAUGCACGUCUUGACGGUACCUAAUCAGAAAGCCACGGCUAGCUACGUG
rnacentral:rRNA from 1 species